ACUUUUCCAAGAGCCUGCGUCCGAUUAGCUAGUUGGUGGAGGUAAAGGCUCACCAAGGCAUAUCGGUAGCUGGUUUGAGAGGAUGAUCAGCCAGGGUGGAACUGAGACACGGUCCAGACUCCUACAGGAGGCAGCAGUAGGGAAUUUUGCGCAAUGGGCGAAAGCCUGACGCAGCGACGCCGCGUGAGUGAAGAAGGCCUUCGGGUUGUAAAACUCUUUUCUUUAGGAAGAUAACGACGGUACUAAAGGAAUAAGCAUCGACUAACUACGUGCCAGCAGUCGCGGUAAUACGUAGGAUGCAAGCGUUAUCCGGAUUUAUUGGGCGUAAGAAGUAUGUAGGCGGUUAUUAAAGUCUGCAGUGAAAUCUCUAGGCUUAACUUAGAAACUGCUGCGGAUACUUAAUUUCUGGAGAGUAGUGGAGGAGAAUGGAAUUCUCGGUGUAGCGGUAAAAUGUGUUGAUAUCGAGAGGAACACCAGAGGCGAAAGCGAUUCUCUAUACUGACUCUGACGCUGAGAUACGAAAGCUAGGGUAGCGAAAGGGAUUAGAGACCCCUGUAGUCCUAGCCGUAAACGAUGAAUGCUAGAUGUCAGAGGUAUCGACCCCUCUGGUGUCGCAGUUAACCGCGUUAAGCAUUCUGCCUGGGGAGUACGGCCGCAAGGCUAAAACUCAAAGGAAUUGACGGGGGACCCGCACAAGCAGCGGAGCGUGUGGUUUAAUUCGAUGAUACACGAAGAAUCUCACCAAGGCUUGACAUAUAAGUGGU
rnacentral:rRNA from 1 species